GAUCUGUGUUCGAAGGACGUUGGCAACACGUGGACUUAGUUUUAAAGUCAUUGCCGUCAUUGCAUCUGAAGAAUUCACAAAAAGUUGCUUACCUUAACUAUGCAACGUGAUAAAUGUCGAAUGAUGGAGAGUCAACUGACAGUUAAGGAUGAGAAGCCUGCAUCAUUAGUCAGUCAGACUGUAGGUGAAAUGAAAAUUAAUCAAGCUGAUUAUCAACCUUUUGUUGUGACCUUUGGGUCACAUCAGCCAUCACCAAUAUUGACUCUGCCUCUCAAUGUACCAUUGGCUGCAGCAGUCUUCCUUUCCCAGGGUACUAUUCUUGCCAACUCAGAUCCAUCAACUCUUCAGAUAAUCAAACCAAAGCCCAAUGAAAAUCCGCCUACUGUAGAAGGAAGUAAAAUGUCUUCUCCGGUGUCCUCUGUGAUACCAAUUCCAAGCACAUUCCCUAUUGCCGAACCGACAGCAGGAGCGGUACAUGUCGAACAAUCCCGCAAUGAUCACACAACAACCGAAUACGUCGAAAAUAGUGAGCAGCAUGCUCAUCUUCUACCUUCCCCGUGUUUCGUACCGAAUCCGCUAGAAGGGAAGAAAUCGCCUUACCCUAAAAUUAUUCGGAGAAGUUUUCAACCAGCUUAUGCUUCUCUUACAAUUGGUGAAACGCCUCUCUUGACCUCUGAAUUGACCGUAGCAUCCUUCGGAAAUAUCAGAGAUGUGAAUGCUUAUGUGGAUUUCAAUAUAGAUAUUCACAUGUCUACAGACACCACCAAAACAUGCAAGCUAAUCGAAGGAGUUGAAAAUGCUUUGUCAGCAAUGCCUCCUCUGAUCCCGAUUGUAAUGGACGAAGAACUUUUUCUAGCUAACCAUUCGUCAUUUCCUGAUAAAUGUCCGAAUGGUAAUAGACAACCUAACGCUGAUGCUAACUCCCCCUCUACUGAGCGUUCCUUGGUAAAUGAACUGGAAACCCAUAGUAAUCAAUUAGCAUCCAUCAGCAGGCCCGGGUGAGCUACAACUUCUACUUUCCCCACCAUCUGCCGGUCAGGAUAAGUCUCGUAAUCAUCCACCCGCUGCCAGUCCAAGCAAAAUUGCUUCACCUCCAACGCUACCAACACCUGGGCCUAGAAAUCUUACUACUCCUACAACCCAACCGUCUGCCACACCGGAUGAUCCUGCUACCAAAAAAAAAAAGAAAACAAGAAAAAGGACGGAAGAACAUCACAGUGCUUUAGAUGCAAUAUAAAAGGCCAUUUCAGUAAAAAAUUGUCCCCAAAAAAAGGGAUACGGUGCUGCAUCAAUCCCGCAAUGUAACCCUGCCCCUCAGCUUGUCCUCGUGUCGGCUCCACGACCAAGGGUCUAUCACCAAGCAGUUCCU
rnacentral:misc_RNA from 1 species